rnacentral:lncRNA from 1 species
AUGACAGAGCACAGGACUCAUUCUGUUCUCUACAUCGCACUCAACAUAGGAGGUUCCACUAUGCUGUAUCAGACCUACCCAUCCAGAUUCAUCAGAUUUGCUUGCAGAGAGCCCCAAGAAAGGAACAGAAAUAGCAAGAAAGUGUCUCUGGCCCAAAGAGGCACAUUCAAUGAGCUUGAAGGACAGUGCAGCACUUGUUCUCCUGAAUGGAUCAAUAACCAAGGACGGACAGAGUGA